ACAAGUUCUUCUUCAAUUCUUCUUAAUUUCGUGUUUUCGGAUCUUUGGCAUACAAAUUUCGACAAGUUCUUCUUUAAUUUCGAAGAGUUCUUCAAUUCCGACAAGUUAUUCUUCAAUUUCGAAGAGUUCUUCAAUUUCGACAAGUUCUUCUUCAAUUUCGAAGAGUUCUUCGAUUUUCAGAUCUGAAGGAGGAAGAGAAGAAAUUGCAGACAAGAUCUUACAUUUCGGUUGUUUCAUUAUUUUCAGAUUUUUAUAUUUCUGUUGUUUAAGCGUAGGAUUUUUUCAGAUUUUUUUAUAUUUCGAUUGUUUUAGGAUUUCGCUGAACACUUCAUAUUAUUCCAGAUUUUUUUCAUUCUAUACUGGAUGUACAAGUGAUAUAAUUUUUUGGUUCGUUUCAUCGACCUCGCUGUAUAAUUUCAUUGUUUAAUUUCAGAUUUUUAUA